rnacentral:lncRNA from 1 species
UAAUGGAAAAGAGAUAUAUGAAGUAUAACCCUCUGCUUUCAUUUUCAAUAUAAUUGGUUUACUACUUAAAGUACUUACUUAUACGUAACUUCAAUCACAUCUUAUCUCAAAAUAUCGUUUUAUAAUUCCUAAAACUUCAUUACUAUUUAUUUAAUGUUUCGGUUACUCAACCCGUGUUAUACAUGGGUCUCUAACCUAGUAACAGAACUAACUAAAACAUUGUAUUCUGAUAUGAUGACAAAAAACUUCUGAAUGUAAAUAUACAGUUUUGAACAAUUUGAGUUCUUAGUGAUUUAGAGGCACAUUAUGCGCUAAGAAAAGGAAAUAUAGAAACCAACUAUACCAACAAGACCUAAGGGGGCGUUUGGUUCGUGGAAUGUGUUUUGUCAAACCAAAAGACUUCAUGCAAGCAGUCUAAUACUCUUAAUCACCCAAGUUCCAAGAAAUAUAUUAGCAUAAUUACCGUUUUAUCAAUGUUUUCGGUGUAAAACUUUCAGCUCAACAUAACAUGUUCACCAUCAAAUAACUUCAAGUUACAAGGUGGAUGAGUACACAUGAGUCUUUUUAUAAAGAAAGAGAAAGUGCUAACUGAACGUGUCACUUAACCAAAGUAAUACUUGAAAGACUUCAAAUUAGAAAGUCAAAAAGAAAGUUGAAAGGAUAAUGAAUAUCAUGUUACCUUGAUAUCGAAG